rnacentral:rRNA from 1 species
AGAGUUUGAUCCUGGCUCAGAUUGAACUUCUGCGGUAUGCUUAACACAUGCAAGUCGAACGGCAGCACGAGGAGAGUUUACUCUCUUCGGUGGCGAGUGGCUUACGGGUGAGUAAUGCAUAGGAAUCUACCUUUUAGUCUAGGAUAACUACCCGAAAGGGUGGCUAAUACUGGAUGUGGACUACGGUUUAAAGCAGGGGACCUUCGGGCCUUGCGCUAAGAGAUGAGCCUCUGUGGGAUUAGCUAGUUGGUGAGGUAAUGGCUCACCAAGGCGACGAUCUCUAGCUGGUUUGAGAGGAUGAUCAGCCACACUGGGACUGAGACACGGCCCAGACUCCUAUGGGAGGCAGCAGUGGGGAAUAUUGGACAAUGGGCGAAAGCCUGAUCCAGCAAUACCGCGUGUGUGAAGAAGGCCCUAGGGUUGUAAAGCACUUUUGUUAGGGAGAACGGGUAUUGUGGUUAAUAACCACAGUAUCUGAUGUUACCUAAAGAAUAAGCACCGGCUAACUCCGUGCCAGCAGCCGCGGUAAUACGGAGGGUGCAAGCGUUAAUCGGAAUUACUGGGCGUAAAGGGCGCGUAGGUGGUAUCUUAAGUUGGGUGUGAAAUCCCCGGGCUCAACCUGGGAAUUGCAUCCAAAACUGGGGUACUAGAGUGUGGUAGAGGGUAGCGGAAUUUCUGGUGUAGCGGUGAAAUGCGUAGAUAUCAGAAGGAACAUCAAUGGCGAAGGCAGCUACCUGGGCCAACACUGACGCUGAGGCGCGAAAGCAUGGGGAGCAAACAGGAUUAGAUACCCUGGUAGUCCAUGCUAUAAACG